rnacentral:rRNA from 1 species
GACGAACGCUGGCGGCGUGCUUAACACAUGCAAGUCGAACGGAAAGGCCCUGCUUUUGUGGGGUGCUCGAGUGGCGAAAGGGUGAGUAACACGUGAGUAACCUGCCCUUGACUUUGGGAUAACUUCAGGAAACUGGGGCUAAUACCGGAUAGGAGCUCCUGCUGCAUGGUGGGGGUUGGAAAGUUUCGGCGGUUGGGGAUGGACUCGCGGCUUAUCAGCUUGUUGGUGGGGUAGUGGCUUACCAAGGCUUUGACGGGUAGCCGGCCUGAGAGGGUGACCGGCCACAUUGGGACUGAGGUGCGGCCAAGACUCCUACGGGAGGCAGCAGUGGGGAAUAUUGCAAGAUGGGCGGAGGCCUGAUGCAGCACCGCCGCGUGCGGGAUGACGGCCGGCGGGUUGGAAACCGCUUGCGCCUGUGACGAAGCGUGAGUGACGGUAAUGGGUAAAGAAGCACCGGCUAACUACGUG